rnacentral:lncRNA from 1 species
GGAAAGUGUGAGUCCCAGCGUGUGUCCACUCCAAUGGGCUUUUUCUGAGUUGUUCACACCUGUGGGACGCGGGCUGUCGGUGAUCAUCUCUGUCUACCGCGCGUGGAGGGGAACCCACCGCCACGUGGAGCAAGGGGACUUGACCGAAAGGUUCUGAGGGAUGCACCAGGAAGACACACAAAGACCAGCAAAAUGAAGACUGAGGAACUCAAGAAGCACGCAAGGAAAGGGGUGGGAUGACAUCGCCAGAGACCUCCGAUGCUCUUGUCUGCCUUGAGCUGCCAGACCAGCACCAGUGCCAUGUACCCGAGUGUUACCAGCUCUGGACCUCACUUAUAUGUCAAGACCCUGACUUCUCACAGAAUCCUCUGCUAACAAGCAUUCACAGAAGUCACCAUGUGCUCAUGAAUAUAACCAGUCAGACUGCCUCCCGUAAGCAUCUUGAAUCUGUGCCAGUCUCAUCUCUGCUUGGUGAUGUCCAGGGAAGCAGAAUCCUCACCUCACAACGCUGGCCUGCUUGACACUUCAUCCAAAUUUGGACAGUUGAGCAGUAUCCUCAAUUCUAGGGGCAUUUCCUCUCUCAGAAGGUUCAAAUAGCGGGAAUCUCAGGCCUUCCCAGACCUCCUUCAAGGAAAAGGUUGGACCUGGAGGUUCUGACCACAAAUGUAAGUUUCAGGUGAGGCUUGAGGCUGAGCUGAGAUUGGCAUGGUAGGCCACCUGGGAUUCAUGGUGAACAAAUUCAAGACAAAAUGGACAUCAGUGGUAGAUCAGAGAGCAAAGAAAUUUGUGCUGUUAUAAAGUAGGAAAAUUGUCUCCAGAAUGAACUUACUAGACUCAAAGCAGGUAUUAAGGACACAGGGAGCUGGGC